AGAAGGUCCUGGCCCACCUCCACCGGGCAGGGAAACAGCACAGAGAAACCAAGUCUCUCACCCAAGAAGACCAGCCAGAGCUGAUGCAGGCAGCCUGGCCCCGCCCGGCCACCAGACCUGAAUGGCAUGCAGCUUCCUCACCACUUCCAGCCACCCGCCUCGGCCUCCACGUCCGUGAGUGGGCUUGCAGGAGCAGCAGAGGACCUUGGGGUCUUUCCAACCCUGUCCUCUCAAUUCCCGCUGCCCUCCUUCCUGAGACGUUAGUGCACAGGGCAGCCCCUGGGAGGCCUCACCCAGCCCUAACCAGGGCCUGAGUCCGGGACCCAAUCCCUCUGGCCCAGGGCCCCUCCCUGGAGGUCACCAGGACCCAGCAUGGCACCAAGCACGCCGGGAUUUAAGUGGGUCAGUUGGGGAAGAAAGGAGGAGGAAUGCAAUGCCAUUAAUUGUGCCCCUUAUCUCCUGUUUCUAUGCCAACCAGACGUUCCCGGGGCUUGACGGGCCCGUGAAUAAUACUCCCGGCUGGCCUAUCUGCCAUCGACAGCCCUUCUCCUAGAGGCAGCUGUUGCCUCCCGAUUGGUAUCGCCAACCUGUGGACCUGGGCCUGGGCCUGCCUAGAGGCCAUCCUGGAGAACUCGGGCCCUGGGUGGACUGCUGCCUGCCCUCCAUAGCCCUGGUCUCCUGGAGGUUUCGAGGCUCCUGUCCCCAUUUCACAGAAAGGGAGACUGAGGCUACAGCUUCCUGAUGUCUCCAGAGCUCACCGGCUCUCCCCCUCAGGAGGCCUGGCCUUGUCCCCAGGGGCUGGGAGCUGGGACAGCACCUGCAGGAGGAGUCCCCUGCUGCAUGACCUUGGCACCACCCGCCCACCCCCCUGCUGGUCGCCCGUCCUUGGCUGUUUCAUUAGGAGACAGGUGAAGGUGGGGUAGGAGCUCAGCUCACACACAGGCCUGUGGACAGGGAGCCAGCUCAGCAGGGCCGGGGUCAGGCUCCUCCCUGCUCAUGCUGUGCAUGGGGUGCCCAGCCCAGUGCCUGCUGACGCCCUGUGCAUGCCUGCCCAGGCAGCCUGGCUCCAACCCUGGCUACCCCCUCGGUCCCGUGAGCUCCCUGAGGGCAGGGAUGGCACUGGCCCACCCCACGCUGCAGGCCUGCUGGGACCAGACAGUUGGCACGAAAUGGGCAGAUGUGGGCCCCUGACUGGCCCUGGGCUCAUGGGCAAGGCCUGUCACCUGAGCCUCAGCUCUCCAUCUGCAAAAGGGCAUCAACAACAGCACCCGUCCUGUGCAGUGCUCCCAUCCCCUCCUCCCACUGCUCCUCCUCCUGCUCUCCCUCCUCCCCCUCCUGCUCUCCCUCCUCCUCCUCCUGCUCUCCCUCCUCCCCCUCCUGCUCUCCCUCCUCCCCUCCUCCCCCUGCUCCUCCUCCUGCUCUCCCUCCUCCUCCUCUCCCUCCUCCCCUCCUCCCACUCCUCCUCCUCCUGCUCUCCCUCCCCCCCUCCUCCCACUGCUCCUCCUCCUGCUCUCCCUCCUCCUCCUCCUGCCCUCCCUCCUCCUCCUCCUG
rnacentral:lncRNA from 1 species